GACGAACGCUGGCGGCGUGCCUAACACAUGCAAGUCGAGCGGAGAUAAAAUGAUGAUUUAUCGGAUUUUUAUCUUAGCGGCGGACGGGUGAGUAACGCGUGAGAAACCUGCCUUAUACUGGGGGAUAACACACCGAAAGGUGUGCUAAUACCGCAUAAAGUUACUAGAUCGCAUGGUCUUGUAACCAAAGGAGUAAUCCGGUGUAAGAUGGUCUCGCGUCUGAUUAGCUAGUUGGUGGGGUAAAGGCCUACCAAGGCGACGAUCAGUAGCCGACCUGAGAGGGUGAUCGGCCACAUUGGGACUGAGACACGGCCCAGACUCCUACGGGAGGCAGCAGUGGGGAAUAUUGCGCAAUGGGGGAAACCCUGACGCAGCAACGCCGCGUGAAGGAUGAAGGUCUUCGGAUUGUAAACUUCUUUGAUUGGGGAAGAUAAUGACGGUACCCAAAAAACAAGCCACGGCUAACUACGUGCCAGCCGCCGCAGUAA
rnacentral:rRNA from 1 species